rnacentral:misc_RNA from 1 species
GCCGUCGAUCAAAUCAAAUCCGCGGAAAACGCAGCGCCAGUCAUGCGCCGUGAAUCCGGUCGUCGACCACGCAUCGUGAAUGAAAGCGUACUCGAUCGGGCUGCGGUUGCGAUCAAGCAUGAUCGACAAAGGCUCGCCGGACGACCCAUCGGUCGAAGCGCGGUCGAGGCGAUCGAGCGGAACGGUGCACAUUUCGUCGCGGUGGUCGAGCAC